AGUGCACUAGCUGUGUGACCUUCUGCAAACUGGGUAACCACACUGCCUCCCCACCCCAUCUCCUCCAAGGUAAAGUGGAGAUUUUACCUGCUGCAAAAAGUUGGGUGAGGACUGAUGAGAGAAUGAGGGUUGAUAAGAGAAGGUGAAGGAAGAGAAGGGAAAAUGUGAAAGACAAUAUUCCAGUCUCCACUGAAUGUGUGGGCACUUCAGUCUCGUGGCAAGUUCAGGCCAAGGGGACAGCUGCUGAAAUGUGGGGGUCCAGGGGCUGCAGAGGGGUUCUGCUGCCUAGCAUUUAAAAGAAGAGGGAAGUAAAUAUUUCUGAGCAACCAUACAGCAUUGAAAGCGAAGCCUUAUCCAUCAUCCACGUCAAAGGGGCUGGAAAGGUCCGAAUCCACCUGAAUGACAACUAAAGUUUCGAGAAUGGGAAUGCAAAAGGGGAUUCAAAGCCACCUGCAUUCCUCGGCCCAUGGCCCCUUCUACCAUCUUUGAAGGCAGCAGCAUAGCACAUCUUCGAAUCUCUCUCUGGCCCUGAAACUCUUGUCUGUGUCUUAUGAGGACCCUUGUGACUACAUUGAGCCCACCCAGAUAAUCCAGGAUAAUCU